rnacentral:rRNA from 1 species
AUGGUAGGGGCGGCCGGUGAGGCAAGGAAAGAGAAGGCAGAGGGAUGGAGGAGAAGGAGAGAUGGCAAGAGCGGUUGGUGUGCUUGCUCCGGUGACCAGCGUCCGGAGGGGUCGCGGUUGGCGUCAUCGACCGAGGUACUUGGCAGCAGCAGGGGUGGUGGUGGAGGUGCAAGCGAGCAGCGCCAUGGCCAGAAGCAGAGGUGGACACCACGGGAGGAGGUGGAGCGAGGCAGGGGCCGGAGAUGGCAGGAAGGAGGCGACCGGGAGGUCGAUGGCCGGCGGCUGCUAGCCGGCGAGGUCGCCGGAGGCGACGGGAGAAUCAAGGAGGCGCGCACGGGCGAAGCAGGAAGGCGGCGCUCAGUGACUGGCCAUGGCAGGCGACAGGCGGCCGGAACAGAGCCACGGGCGCGGCCCAAGAGCUAA